AUGAACGCUGGCGGCGUGCCUAAUACAUGCAAGUCGAGCGAACGGACGAGAAGCUUGCUUCUCUGAUGUUAGCGGCGGACGGGUGAGUAACACGUGGAUAACCUACCUAUAAGACUGGGAUAACUUCGGGAAACCGUGGCUAAUACCGGAUAAUAUUUUGAACCGCAUGGUUCAAAAGUGAAAGACGGUCUUGCUGUCACUUAUAGAUAGAUCCGCGCUGCAUUAGCUAGUUGGUAAGGUAACGGCUUACCAAGGCAACGAUGCAUAGCCGACCUGAGAGGGUGAUCGGCCACACUGGAACUGAGACACGGUCCAGACUCCUACGGGAGGCAGCAGUAGGGAAUCUUCCGCAAUGGGCGAAAGCCUGACGGAGCAACGCCGCGUGAGUGAUGAAGGUCUUCGGAUCGUAAAACUCUGUUAUUAGGGAAGAACAUAUGUGUAAGUAACUGUGCACAUCUUGACGGUACCUAAUCAGAAAGCCACGGCUAACUACGUG
rnacentral:rRNA from 1 species